UUUAAGAUAAUGCUCAUUGGUGUUUACAUGAUAUAUUCAAGUUUUUUUUCUUUUUCUGAUUUCAUCACUUUCUUGUCUACUUGUUAUAUGACUUUGAAAAUUCUCCUAUAAAGGACAGGUUAUAUAUUCAUCAUGCUUCAAUCUGGAUGCCGAAGUGAUGCUAUGUGAUGUUUCUGCCUCUUUUUCUUGAUGCACAGGAGGCCAUCUACCAUGGAGUGAAGAAGCUCAAGUAACCUGUGAAAAGGACCAUGUAAAGAGAAAUCAAGACACUUGGUCUGCAGUCCUGGCUGUGGACCAAGUGCUGCCCAUGCAUGUGAGCCAUUUUAAAAGUGGAAUCUCCAUCUCCUAUUUAAUGCACCAUGGAGCAGAGAUGAGCUGUUCCCAACUGGCUUCCAAAAUUAUACAUUUUUGAGCACAAGUGAUUUUUUUUUGUUUUAAGGCACUAAACUGUGGAGUGGUGUCAUGAAGCAUUAGAUAACCAAUCCAUUUUGUUUAUAGAUCAUAGAACACAAAAUUUUGAACUUUAAAUCUUAUAUAUUAUAUUAUAUAUAUUAUUAUCCUUGUUUCAGAGAUGAGAAAUGAAUAAUUCAGAGUUCAAGUAGAUUUAAGAUAUGCUACUUCUGUGUUUAUCUAGCUGGAGGAAAUAGUUGGAAGGAAAGACCCCUGGAUUUGAAAUGACAAGAUAUGGGCUUGAGGUUUACUUCUGCUACUUACUAGCUUAGGUGAACUUGGGCAAGAGUCUUAAUUUCUCUGAACCCAGUUUAUUUUCCUUUUAAAUGGUAAUAAAAAUAACAGACCUAUAUCAACUUUCUCUCCCUCUUAUUUACUCAAUUUAACAAUGGUUUAUAAAUUAACUGAUAUACUGUGUAAGCAAAGAACACAUAAGGAUAUAUUUGUGUUUUUGUGAAGUUUGUGGUUUAUCAGGGAGCCAGUGACAUAUUAAAAUUAUUGCAAAACAGUUCAGUAAG
rnacentral:lncRNA from 1 species